UCGAUAUUUCACUGUCAGUCAAUCUACUCUUCGAGAAUACAAAAUCUCGUACUACAGCAACAUCGAAACAGGCGAUUUCCGCCCAGUGCUGCAUGAAUGUCAUUUGUAAGUCAUUUUUUGAGUACAUUUUUUCAUAAACUGCAACGUUUUUGGUUUGAUAAAACAACUCUUUGUUUAAGUGUCGAAUGUUCUGGAAUUUCCAAUUGAAGUUAUUUAUAAACUUAUACAAUUUUGGGGCUAUUAAUUUACCAUUUAUUUUUCCUUUAGUUAUAUGAUUAAUUUUUUCAAUUUUGUUAAUUAAAUUAUUAAAAUUUAAAUUUGUAUCUUCAAUAAAUUUUUCUAAAUUAGUUUUAGAUUCUUUUAAAUUUAUAUAAGUAUUUUCAUUAUUAUUAUUAUUUAAAUUGUUAUUGAUAUUAUUAGAAUUAAAAUUUUGUUUAAAUAUUUUCUUUUCUUUAAUUUUAUAAUUUUCAAAAUGCUUAUUUUGAGAAGCAUGGUAAUUCCUAUUAUCAUGUUUUUUAUUAAAAGCAAAAGCAUUAGGAGCUUGUACACUCUGGGAAUUCUUGUUCUUAGAAUGUGCAGUAUCCCUAUAUUCAUUUGUAGUUUUAUUAUUAUUAUUAUAGAUUCUGGUUUGGACAUUAUAAUUUUUAUUAUAAGGUCGCUUAGAUUUAUUAAAGGAAUUUGGAGUCUGCUUGCCCUGAAAGUUUUUGUUUUCAGGAUAAGUAGAAUCCCUAUAUUGCAUAUCAUUAUUUAAUUUAUUCAUUUCAUUUUUUUUUAAUAGGUUGUAGUUAAUGGGAUUGAAGCGAGAAGAUGACUGAUUUAUGCCUUUAUUCGGAGAUGCAAGCCUAUAAGUAUUAUUUUUGUUCUUAUAUUUAUUAGAGUCAUUAUUGUUAAAGGUAGAAUCAUUAUAAUAGUUUUUAUUAUUCUUAUUAAUUUUAUAAUUAUUAUUAUUAUUAUAAGUGUUUUUAUUAUUAUCAUUAUAGCUAUUAUUAGAAUCAUUACUUUUAUCUUUCAUUAAUGUAUUAUAUCUAUUAUUAUUAUUUUUGUAAUUAUAAUUAUCAUUAAAAACUUUGUUAUAGUUAUUUUUUCUAUAGAUAUUAUCACUAUCAGUAGAGCUUUUAUUAAUAUUAUUAUAACGAUUAUCAGGAUUAAUAUUAUUAUUAUUUAGUGCAUUAUGUCUAUAAUUAUAACGAUUAUCAGCAUUAAUAUUAUUAUCAUUAUAUCUAUUACUAUAUAUAUAGCUAUUAUUGUUAUUUUUAUAAAAAUUUCUAUUAUUAGGGUUUCUAUAAUUAUUAUGAUCUUCAACAUUAUAUUCCCUAUUAUAAAUAUCUUUAGUAUUGUUAGUGUAGUUGAAAUCAUUUUUAUUUUUAUCAAAAUUGCUAUAUUUUCUUAUUAGGGUCUCCCUUCUGUUGAUGAAUGAUCCGAAUUUAUUACCUGAAUCAAUUACUUUGGCAUAUGUGACCUUAUUAGCAUAAUAAUUAGAUAUAGGUGAGUCAGUAUUUUUAUUAUUAUUAUUUCUAUUAAUAUUGGCUGAAUUAGUCAAUUUAUCAUUGAUACCUUUAUUCCAGUGUCUUUCCGGCCCAUUCCCCAUUCUGUUCCCAGCUGUGUCAGUCGCUCCAGCAGAUUCGAAUCCCAUAGUCUGUGAAUGAAUUCGGGGUACAAGUUCUCUGGCUCUCAUCGGGGUCUCAGGAGUCCUCGUCAGUGUCCGAUGGGGAAAGAUGGGCUCAUUCUCAUUUCUAUUAAUAAAAUUAUAAUUAAUAUUGUUGUUUAAUUUGUUAGUAUUUUUAUGAUUAUUAUAAAGAUGGGUGUGGGCAUCCACCAUAGAGUUAUGGGUGGGUCCAUUAGCAUUGUUCUGGCUUUCCAAUUCAUGUGAGCUUCUCCAUUUUUCAUCGCAGUGUUUUUCUUUGAGUGCUGUAAUUAUAGUGAGCAUCUCUUUCUGUUGUUUCUCAUUGUAAUAUUUUGGUGGGUUCUCUAAUAAAUUGUCCACAUAUCUGUCAUAGGAGGAGACUGGCCAGGCAAGUUCGGCUCUUAGUCGGUACCAGCAGUGUCUCAUCCUUGGUAGCUCUUCCAUCGAUGUCCUACAUGUAAUAAAUCUAAAAAAUUGAGUAAUAUCAUAUUUAAAUCGUGCUAUUCUAGCACUAUCUUCAAUUUUUUUUAAUAGUUGAAGUGAGCGUUGCUCCAUAGAGGAUGACUUUUGCUCUCCUCCAACUAUUCGAUUCAAGUAAGUCGCAGUUGCUGAUCUGGGAUCGAGUAGUUGCGUCCGCAGUCGGUUCCAACUACUCGAUAUUUCACUGUCAGUCAAUCUACUCUUCGAGAAUACAAAAUCUCGUACUACAGCAACAUCGAAACAGGCGAUUUCUGCCCAGUGCCAUGAAUGUCAAUGUGAAGAAAUUCAAACAAGCGCUGGUUAACGGCGGGAGUAACUAUGACUCUCUUCAGGUAGCCAAAUGCCUCGUCAUCUAAUUAGUGACGUGCAUGAAUGGAUUAACGAGAUUCCUACUGUCCCUAUCUACUAUCUAGCGAAACUACAGCCAAGGGAACGGGCUUGGAAAAUAUAGCGGGGAAAGAAGACCCUGUUGAGCUUGACUCUAGUCCGACUUUGUAGGGAGACAUUAGAGGUGUAGUAUAAGUGGGAGACUCACGUCGACAGUGAAAUACCACUACUCUGAUCGUUUCUUUACUUACUCAGUAAUGCAGUGCAGUUGAUUCAGGUCAAUUUAUUGUGGAGAAAAGAAAGCGAUCUUCGGAUGCUUUCGAGCUGUUCUGAGGACAGUGUCAGGUGGGGAGUUUGACUGGGGCGGUACAUCUGUCAAAUGGUAACGCAGGUGUCCCAAGGUGAGCUCAACCAGGACAGAAACCUGGUGUCGACCAAAAGGGGAAAAGCUCACUUGAUUUUGAUUUUCAGUACGAAUACAGACCGUGAAAGCGCGGCCUAUCGAUCCUUUUGAUGUCUUCAGAGUUUGAAGCAAGAGGUGUCAGAAAACAAAUUCAUUAUUGUGUGGGAGCAAAUUUAUGUUAGAAGAUUGGGCUGGUAGGCUUACCAUCACCAAUCAUAGGUUAUAAGUGUUGUAUCAAUGUCUGUGUGUAGAUAGGUUUGCUACUAGCCUCUCCAUAUCUGGAAAAGUAGCCUUG
rnacentral:rRNA from 1 species